rnacentral:lncRNA from 1 species
GAGCACCUGAUAGGUUCUCCAGCCCUGGUAGGAGCUGGAUCCCAGCAAGUAGAAAGUGGUUCAGGUCCUUUAUUUAAGGGAGUACAUCAAAGGCAGGGAUACGGUUUCAGUGGGAGGAGUCUUCCUUCUCCCUGUGGCAGGGGACUUGGAACAAAGAGGUUGAUUAGCAUCUUGGCAAGCCACACUCAUCUCUGAGAGGCUGUGUGUCUAUGUG